rnacentral:rRNA from 1 species
GAUGAACGCUGGCGGCGUGCUUAACACAUGCAAGUCGAACGAUGAAGCCCAGCUUGCUGGGUGGAUUAGUGGCGAACGGGUGAGUAACACGUGAGCAACCUGCCCCUGACUCUGGGAUAAGCGCUGGAAACGGCGUCUAAUACUGGGUAUGUCCCAUCACCGCAUGGUGUGUGGGUGGAAAGACUUUUCGGUUGGGGAUG